GAUCAGGCUCAGGAUGAACGCUAGCUACAGGCUUAACACAUGUAAGUCGAGGGGCAGCGGGAAGUCAGCUUGCUGACUUUGCCGGCGACCGGCGCACGGGUGAGUAAUACGUAUCCAACCUCCCGCAUACUCGGGAAUAGCCUUUCGAAAGAAAGAUUAAUGCCCGAUGGUUUCAAGGGAUUGCAUGGUAUCUUGAAUAAAGAUUCAUCGGUAUGCGAUGGGGAUGCGUUCCAUUAGG
rnacentral:rRNA from 1 species